UAAGUAGGGUGCGAGCGUUAAUCGGAAUUACUGGGCGUAAAGCGUGCGCAGGCGGCUUUGCAAGACAGAUGUGAAAUCCCCGGGCUCAACCUGGGAACUGCAUUUGUGACUGCAAGGCUAGAGUACGGCAGAGGGGGAUGGAAUUCCGCGUGUAGCAGUGAAAUGCGUAGAUAUGCGGAGGAACACCAAUGGCGAAGGCAAUCCCCUGGGCCUGUACGGAAGCGCAUGCAAGAAAGCGGGGGGAGCACACAGGCUGCGAUAACACUGUAGUCC
rnacentral:rRNA from 1 species